rnacentral:rRNA from 1 species
AUAUGCCUACAACUUAGUGUUAAUGCAUCAGAUCCCAUUAGAACUCCAUAGUUAAGCGCUCUCAGGAUAGAGUAGUACUGGGAUGGGUGACCACCUAGGAAGUCCUACUAAUUUACAUGCU